UGUAUAUUAUUCUUAUAUUUCUAUUUCAAUCCUUCUGCUUGUUUUCAGAAAAGAUGCACUCCUGCUGUGAUUAGUUUGUGUAAUAUAAACCUCAGCCAUCAGAUGUGACUGCAGACAGGAUCAGCACCACAUCCAGCCCCAUUUAACGCAGUCUAAGCAGUAGACCUGAUGAUACAUCUUGGGCAAGAAAAGAAGAUUUUGAGCACCGUCCUGCUUUGUGAGUAAGGCUCUACUGUCCCAACCUUGAUGAAAGAUGAACUCCUGGAAACAGCUGCCUAUUGUGAGUGUCCCUUUGUUCAUGGAAGAGCAGGUUCCCAAGUGGGUGUGUUUUACAUGUCCUAAUUAUGAUUGUCUCAAUUUUUCAGAUAAAAUGAAGUCAAUGAAGUGCUUACAAGGUUUUCCUUGUCUCUUACUGGAUGAGAUUGUUCUAGUUAAUAGUUCGUUUAUUCAUGUUUCUUUACUGUUCUGUUGCUCAGUAACAGUUCAAAGACACUAAAGAAAUGGUUUACAAAGACACUUGGAACUGCACGUCAUGUGUGUACCCAAACAAGUUUGGUUGUACAUGUUGUCGUGGUGGAAGCCCAUGGUAAUGACUUGCUUGCAGUUAAGAACAAGCCUUAAAAAGUCAGUCUUUUGUUUCACUUUGUGUCAGCUUCUAACAAUGACAAGUACAGCAGGCGUUAGAACAACUUACUGAAUUGUUGGUAGCUGUGGGACAGAAUACACUGAGCAUAUCUCCUGGUGAGAACUGUCUGGAACUGCUUACUCUGUCUUUGAUUUUGAUUUACCUACCAUAGAUUAGUUCUAUGGCAGAUCUCGAGGACCUUGCAGAAUUACAAAAUGCCUUUGGUUUUUAGCAUUAUACCCACUGCUCAGAACUCACUGACAAGGAACAAGGAAGAGAAGUAACCAACUGCAAGCUCAGACUGCUUACGGUAACGUACUGCUCAGAUGUGCUUCAGAACUACCCAUUGUUCCAUCAAUAGACACAGGUUAGGAGUGUGUUGCACACCCUGCUGUCUGUGGUAGAACACCCGCUGCGGUAUGGCCAGCUGCAGAGGGACAGCCCGUGUCAGGACCCUCAAGAGUUCUGAGGUACUGGAAGAAAAUGUAUCUUCAGGCAUCGUGAGAAGCUGAUGUUGGCUAGGAAGGGACUCCAGGAAGGAUUUGGAUAUGCUGGUCAUAUCUUAAGAAAUAAUAAAGAAGAUGUUGGAUAGGAUUGAAACCACAUUAGGAGUAGUUCUGCAGAUCUAAACUGGAGAACUGAGUUUUACCCAGUUAUUUUUUUCAGAACAACUGUGGUAAGUUGAGGGAUUUGGGUAUUUUGAUAUAACGGAAAUAUAUAACAGAACUAGUAGGCUCUACAGGAACAGAUCCUUGUGUUCUGAAGUGCACUGACCCUCAGAGAUAAGAGCUGCACUUAGUGCUGUGUUGCUGCUCAAGUUGCUCAGUACAGUGCAGAGCUGGGCACUUCUUUUGCUGUGUGGUGUUGUAAAACAAGGCUCGUUACAGUAAUAUAAAUUAAACAGUGUUUUUGAUUGUCCCCAGUCCUCUCAAAGUCAUGCAGUCAUGGAUGUGUUGUGGAGAUGAAAGCAGCUGGAACUAUGAUCCACAGGAAACAAAGUUGAGCAUCAAAGUAAAAACAUGAAGAGCUGUCUUAGAAGGAUGAGGGAAGUAGAUGUGAUUACCUUUCAUUAAAAUAAUUUCCAUCAGGAAACACUGAGUCUGGGUACUGGGAGAUAACACAUGGUGUAUUUAUCAAUGACUCCUCCAGUUUUCAACCUGCUCCCCAUUUAUAUCACAAGGUGUUCCAAAACACGCAAAGAAAACCCUGGGAUAAGAAGAUAGCUGGAGCUUUUCAAUAUCUUUCUGUUUAGAGAAAAAAUGAUGACGGAAUCAAGAUCUCUAGUGCUUUCUGGCACCAUGACAGAUAGACCAGUGCUUGCUGGUUGAUUACAGCGAUUUUGCCAAAAGAUGCAUUGAAUCAGAUGAUUGCAGUUACACAGUGAAUUGCCAGAAGUUCAAUUGUUUUAAAGAAGUGCAGAGGAUAUGUUAUUGAUCUGACUGCCUGAAAUACAUACAGAUGCCUCCCCUCUGAUCCGUUGAAGAAAUACAUUAUGAAUUCCCAUAUAUAUUGAAUUUUUUUCACAAGUUUAUUAGAAAAUCUCAGUGUUUUGUGUGUUUUGAAGAAUGUAUCUGUUCAAUGAAAGGAAACUGGAUCAUGUUCUAAUGUAAAUAUUACUGUACUCAAAGAUUUUGUGUAACAUAUUCACUCAUAGAGCUGUCACGUGUCUGCCAAAGCCCAGUGAACUCUGCAAAAUGGCAGCUGUUGCAAGAGGAGAUUUUUUGAAAGAGCUGGAAGAAUGCUGGCAGCGUCUGUCCAAAUGUAUAGACAGUGACUUUUGGGUCUUCUUUCUGUCAGUUAGUAGAGAAAAGCAAGCUAUUUUUUCCCCAGUGUCUGUUUUUCCUCACGUGCCAUUUGGGACACAUUGUGUGAAAAAAGUUGCCAUGGAUGAGAUCCUUCUUGACAUUUGUCACUGAAGAUGCAUCCUCAUGCAUUCCUCCCAGUUAAAUCAUUGAAUAAUAUCCUAAAUGAGAACUUGUUAAACAACUCUGAGUCCCAUCCUGCAAAACCCGUGAAACAGAUUCUUAACCUGGCAAGAUUUUGUAACUUAUUGAAGGAAAAAUCCAUGCGCCAUCUUGUGCAGUGAGCUGCAGAGUCAGAUAGAAGGACCUGUGAAUGGCACAACUUUUGUGCCGGUCCCAAUGUGACGCUCAUUUCUGAAGUUCACUCCAGACACAGGCGGUGCUCAUCUUUAAUAAGCACAUACUAAUCACCUUUAUCGUGACUUUUACUGAGAAACUGUUUCACACCACAGGCAAGCCACAUAGGCAAUUAUGCCAUGCACACUGCUCUAUAGCAAUAUGUAGGCUGCAUCCCAUGCCCUUAACAGUCCUUUGCAGUGUGUUUUUAAAUGUACCACUGUUGCAGUGAUGAAGAUUGUUUAUCUAUAGUUUUGAAUUACUCUGAAGGUUAGUACCUUUAUUUAAAGACACAAAAUUUUAUUAGCAUUUGGGAUAAUAUAGUAAGGUUUUCAUUUAUUGUUUUUUCCUGUUGGUAUGGUUUUGUUAAUCAAGGUUGUAAUACAACUGUAUAUGAACUUAAAUAAAUGUUAUAGUUAGCUUA